rnacentral:tRNA from 1 species
GGACAGGUGGCGGAGCGGUUGAACGCGCCAGUCUCGAAAACUGGUAUACCCUUCGGGGUAUCGUGGGUUCGAAUCCCACCCUGUCCG